UACCAUAAAAAUUUAAUUGAAAAUUUUUACAGCAAUGUUGUGCACCGAUCGUCCCAGUGGCUCAAAGGAUAGAGUGUCUGUUUCCUAUAUGGACAUGAUGGAACAACAGAAGGUUGCGAGUUCGAUUCUCGCCUGGGAUU
rnacentral:tRNA from 1 species